rnacentral:lncRNA from 1 species
CAACUCCUCGAAUAUCUCCUAGAAGUUCUGACUCCUCCGCCGGACACGGCGGCACCGCUUCCAAAUCACCCCAAAUUCACACCCUGCAACCCCCAUGCCUCCUGCAUGACAAAUCCACAAAUAUUUUUCUUUGAAUACCUCUCAGACGAAUCGAAUAUUAGUUUGAAGGUCUGACCUAAACCUCUAAACCUGUGCAUGAAGACUUUUUCAGUUUGGCUCUGUCCACUGAUAACGCUUCUUGUUCAUUGUACCAAGAACGAACGACUGAUGCUAUUAAAGGACAAAGCUAGAGGUUCCAAUCACCAUAGGUCUCAGGCUUUGAUCCGGUGAGUCCUUUUCCUUUUGUUUCGCUUUUUUCUUCUCCUUUUGCUUUUGUUCUUCUCCUUUUGGUCGAAGGUCAAUCUCAAACUGAGACUAGGCAAAAAAUUCUAAACCCAGAACCCUUCUUCUCAGAUGUGUUUUCUUUGAUUUUCUUUUAGUUAAAUGGAAUGAUUAGUCUUUGAUUUCACCUCCUGUUCUGGUCACCUAGUUUAAUAUAUUUAGGUUUAUUUUAAAAGCUUAAUUAGUUCUUGUUUGUCGCAACUAAUCAGUCAAUUAUGUUACAUGAUUGGAACUCCUGAUUUGUUUUAGUACAGACCCCACUCCUAGAAGGUUUUGUCUGGGCUGAUUUAAAGCCCAUGUUUGAGUCCAUUGGAUUCAUGUCCCAUAGACCAGUUUAGUGCUGUUUGUUCUAAUGUAAUUUUCAGGGUAUGAGAGGGUAAAUUGGAUAGAUUACUUUGGGAAUCUUAUAUUAACAAGAAUAUGAAGCUUCUAGUAGGGGUUCCUACAAAUUUUAGGCUAUAACUUGGUUAACAAGUUAAAAAAUAAGGGACAAAAUGAAAUAACAAAACCUUAGGGCUGCCCUAGUGACUUACCUAUAAAGGCAUAGUCAUUUGCAGCUUAAAGGGGAGGAUCUUGAAUAUAAAAAGGGACUGGAAAGCUAAAGAUAAAAAAACUCAGAAAUAGAAUAGCUAAAACAUUAACAGGAAAAUUACUGUUCCAUUGAUUUGAAUCUGUAAUUUUGAGUUCCAAUUUGGCCUAGUAUCCUUGGUUUUCAGUAAGUGUGUGAAAUGGAUUGAACUUACUCUUUCUUUUGGAAGUCUAGGGUUGAUUUUUGAUUCAGUCACUGUUUCAUUGGUUUGAGUUAUUUUAACUGGGUUAUUUGAUUAAUUCUGGGAGUAUUCUUGUUGUUGUUAACCAUUGCUCUUGUGCUGCUCUGCUACUGACUCUUCACCCUUUGUGUUAUCUCCAAAACUCUAGGUACACUAUCAAAAGUUGUCAUGGACUUGAGCACUGAUUAGCAUGUGUAAGGAUCGGGAAAUGCACAUUGAAGUUUGAAUGGAAAUUUUGAAAUUGUGAUGUCACCUUUGUUAUUUGCUAUUUGAUCAAAUGAUUUAGUUUCCAUUUCUGUUUUAUGUCAAUGUUUUGUUCAUGCUAAUAAUGUAGGGUAGUUUUUAUUCAAACUUAGUGUAUAAUUUCUGAACUUUAGGUGUUGUAACAGUGUUUGAACUCUAGUUAGGUGAAU